GCCUGAUUGGCUCAGUCAGUAGAGCAUGUGACCCUUAACACAGGGUCAUGAGUUCAAGCCCCAUAUUGGGCA
rnacentral:tRNA from 1 species